rnacentral:snoRNA from 1 species
AAGACUAUACUUUCAGGGAUCAUUUCUAUAGUUCGUUACUAGAGAAGUUUCUCUGAACGUGUAGAGCACCGAAAACCACGAGGAAGAGACGUAGCGUUUUCUCCUGAGCGUGAAGCCGGCUUUUGGUGUCGCUUCGUUGCGACUGCCGUCAGCCAUUGAUGAUCGUUCUUCUCUUCUUAUUGGAGAGUAAGAGGGAGAGAACGCGGUCUGAGUGGUUUUUCUUUCUUGACAGUUCAAUAGCAGGCAACGGGGUGUGUAAGUCUCGGAUGCCUUCUGCUGGGGUUUCCUUGCUACGGCUGGCGGGCUGGCGUGUCCCCAAGAAACUUUUUCGUUUUUCGCACUGUCAGCGGUGGCUCUUGUCUUUUUUUCGUUCGGGGGGUUUUCCAAAUUUUAGUCUUGGCGUGGGGAGGCCGUGUGUACCUCCUGUUGUCUCUUUUUGCACUUGGCAUUCUGUGCUUUUCGCUGCGUCUUUCGUCGUCGUUUCCCGCCCGCCACCCCUACCCCCAGGCGGGGUCUCGGGAUCAUUUGUUCUGCCUGGCUCCCAGGGAGCCUGGAGUGCGAUGGCGCGAUCUUGAGGCUCAUAGCAACAUCUGCCUCCCGGGCUCAAGCGAGUCUUCUGCCUAAGCCCUCCCGAGUGGCCGGGGCUACGCACGCCACGCCCGGCUGCUUUUUUUUGUUGUUUGUUUGUUUUAAUUGUUUGUAGAAACGGGGUGUCACCAUGUUAGCCAGGUUGUUUGUUUGUUUUGUUUUAAUUGUUUGUAGAAACCGGGUGUCACCAUG